AAGCUUGAUGAUGACAACGUGGUGUCCUAUAUCCUAGCCGGUAUGGAUUCAAACUAUAACCCAUUUGUGUCAUCUGUAACUGCCAAGGAUGAUAUUUCCUUGAGCAAUAUUUAUGCCCAGUUGUUGGCAUAUGAGG